GACGAACGCUGGCGGCGUGGAUUAGGCAUGCAAGUCGAACGGUAUCAUCCUUUCGGGGGUGAGAGAGUGGCGAACUGGUGAGUAACACGUAGGUUAUCUACCCUCAAGACGGGGACAACCCAGGGAAACUUGGGCUAAUACCGGAUGUGAGCAACUUUUAGUUGUUUGAAAGGUGGCGUAAGCUGUCGCUUGGGGAUGAGCCUGCGUCCUAUUAGUUAGUUGGUGAGGUAACGGCUCACCUAGGCAAUGAUAGGUAGGCGGCCUUAACGGGUGGUCGCCCACACUGGGAUUGAGAUACGGCCCAGACUCCUACGGGAGGCAGCAGUCGAGAAUAGUCUACAAUGGUCGGAAGACUGAUAGUGCGACGCCGCGUGAACGAUGAAUCCCUUCGGGGUGUAAAGUUCUUUUAUAUGUGAGCAGUGCUUCUUAUAUUAACAGUAUGGGGAGAGAGAUAUUAGCAUAUGAAUAAGCAACGGCUUAAACUCCGUGCCAGCACGCCGCGGUAAUA
rnacentral:rRNA from 1 species